rnacentral:rRNA from 1 species
AACGAACGCUGGCGGCAGGCUUAACACAUGCAAGUCGAACGCCCCGCAAGGGGAGUGGCAGACGGGUGAGUAACACGUGGGAACAUGCCCAAAGGUACGGAAUAUUCUCGGGAAACUGGGAGCAAUACCGUAUGUGCCCGAAAGGGGAAAGAUUUAUCGCCUUUGGAUUGGCCCGCGUUGGAUUAGCUAGUUGGUGGGUAAAAGCCUACCAAGGCGACGAUCCAUAGCUGGUCUGAGAGGACGACCAGCCACACUGGGACUGAGACACGGCCCAGACUCCUACGGGAGGCAGCAGUGAGGAAUAUUGGUCAAUGGGAGCAAUCCUGAACCAGCAAUGCCGCGUGUGGGAUGACAGGGCUUCGCCUUGUAAACCACUGUCGGACGGGACGAAAGGAGGCCUCGGGCCUCUGGGACGGUACCGUCAAAGGAAGGGUCGGCUAACUACGUGCCAGCAGCCGCGGUAAU